CACGUAGGGCGCGAGCGUUGUCCGGAAUUAUUGGGCGUAAAGAGCUCGUAGGCGGUCUGUCACGUCGGCUGUGAAAACCCGGGGCUCAACCCCGGGCCUGCAGUCGAUACGGGCAGACUAGAGUGCGGUAGGGGAGACUGGAAUUCCUGGUGUAGCGGUGAAAUGCGCAGAUAUCAGGAGGAACACCUGUGGCAAAGCGGCUCUGGACCA
rnacentral:rRNA from 1 species